rnacentral:lncRNA from 1 species
GGCACUAUCCAAAGAAUGUGAUUAAAUUGAAUUUGGACCCCGCCACUAGAAGGAGUAGUGGUAGACAUACUCUUUUUAGCGACCCGAGAAAUUACCUAAAUAACAUCUCCGUAAUCCAAUCUCUCCCGCUAGAAGGAGUAGCGACGUGUUGUUUAAUUACAUCAUUAUAAUAUUUGUAAUCAUAUAUAUAAGCUUGAAUCUCUUAUAAUACGUACCGGACUCAAAUUUGUAGAACUGUCUCCAUGUACAGGACAUGCACAAAGAGAGCAUACGAUGCCAACAAUACCCUCGUCGUCG